rnacentral:rRNA from 1 species
AUUGAACGCUGGCGGCAGGCCUAACACAUGCAAGUCGAACGGUAACAGGAAACAGCUUGCUGUUUCGCUGACGAGUGGCGGACGGGUGAGUAAUGUCUGGGAAACUGCCUGAUGGAGGGGGAUAACUACUGGAAACGGUAGCUAAUACCGCAUAACGUCGCAAGACCAAAGAGGGGGACCUUCGGGCCUCUUGCCAUCGGAUGUGCCCAGAUGGGAUUAGCUUGUUGGGGGGGUAACGGCUCACCAAGGCGACGAUCCCUAGCUGGUCUGAGAGAAUGACCAGCCACACUGGAACAGAGACACGGUCCAGACUCCUACGGGAGGCAGCAGUGGGGAAUAUUGCACAAUGGGCGCAAGCCUGAUGCAGCCAUGCCGCGUGUAUGAAGAAGGCCUUCGGGUUGUAAAGUACUUUCAGCGGGGAGGAAGGGAGUAAAGUUAAUACCUUUACUCAUUGACGUUACCCGCAGAAGAAGCACCGGCUAACUCCGUGCCAGCAGCCGCCGUAA